rnacentral:rRNA from 1 species
CGACGCUGCGGCGUGCUUAACACAUGCAAGUCGAACGAUGAAGCCUUUCGGGGUGGAUUAGUGGCGAACGGGUGAGUAACACGUGGGCAAUCUGCCCUGCACUCUGGGACAAGCCCUGGAAACGGGGUCUAAUACCGGAUGACACCCCCUCUCGCAUGGGAGGGGGUUGAAAGCUCCGGCGGUGCAGGAUGAGCCCGCGGCCUAUCAGCUUGUUGGUGAGGUAGAAGCUCACCAAGGCGACGACGGGUAGCCGGCCUGAGAGGGCGACCGGCCACACUGGGACUGAGACACGGCCCAGACUCCUACGGGAGGCAGCAGUGGGGAAUAUUGCACAAUGGGCGAAAGCCUGAUGCAGCGACGCCGCGUGAGGGAUGACGGCCUUCGGGUUGUAAACCUCUUUCAGCAGGGAAGAAGCGAAAGUGACGGUACCUGCAGAAGAAGCGCCGGCUAACUACGUGCCAGCAGCCGCGGUAAUACGUAGGGCGCAAGCGUUGUCCGGAAUUAUUGGGCGUAAAGAGCUCGUAGGCGGCUUGUCACGUCGGUUGUGAAAGCCCGGGGCUUAACCCCGGGUCUGCAGUCGAUACGGGCAGGCUAGAGUGUGGUAGGGGAGAUCGGAAUUCCUGGUGUAGCGGUGAAAUGCGCAGAUAUCAGGAGGAACACCGGUGGCGAAGGCGGAUCUCUGGGCCAUUACUGACGCUGAGGAGCGAAAGCGUGGGGAGCGAACAGGAUUAGAUACCCUGGUAGUCCACGCCGUAAACGGUGGGAACUAGGUGUUGGCGACAUUCCACGUCGUCGGUGCCGCAGCUAACGCAUUAAGUCCCCGCCUGGG